rnacentral:rRNA from 1 species
AUUGAACGCUGGCGGCAUGCUUUACACAUGCAAGUCGAACGGCAGCGCGGUCUUCGGCCUGGCGGCGAGUGGCGAACGGGUGAGUAAUGCAUCGGAACGUGCCCAGUUGUGGGGGAUAGCCCUGCGAAAGCCGGAUUAAUACCGCAUACGACCUGACGGUGAAAGCGGGGGAUCGAAAGGCCUCGCGCUAUUGGAGCGGCCGAUGUCGGAUUAGCUAGUUGGUGGGGUAAAGGCUUACCAAGGCGACGAUCCGUAGCUGGUCUGAGAGGACGACCAGCCACACUGGAACUGAGACACGGCCCAGACUCCUACGGGAGGCAGCAGUGGGGAAUUUUGGACAAUGGGCGCAACCCUGAUCCAGCCAAGCCGCGUGAGAGAAGAAGGCCUUCGGGUUGUAAACCGCUUUUGUUCGGGAAGAAAAACUCUCGGCUAAUACCGCGGGGUGAUGACGGUACCGAAAGAAUAAGCACCGGCUAACUACGUG